AGUCCCGCAACGAGCGCAACCCUUUUCCUUAUUUGCCAGCGGGUUAAGCCGGGAACUUUAAGGAUACUGCCAGUGACAAACUGGAGGAAGGCGGGGACGACGUCAAGUCAUCAUGGCCCUUACGACCAGGGCUACACACGUGCUACAAUGGUCGGUACAAAGGGUUGCUACCUAGCGAUAGGAUGCUAAUCUCAAAAAGCCGAUCGUAGUCCGGAUUGGAGUCUGCAACUCGACUCCAUGAAGUCGGAAUCGCUAGUAAUCGCGGAUC
rnacentral:rRNA from 14 species